UAGGUAUAAGGGGUCUCCGUGCGCGCACGCGCCUAUUCAACAGAGACCGCAGCACAUAGAAGAGGUGGAGGGUCCUAUAAUAGAGUGACUGGGAUGGAAAUAGUCCUUUCUGUGCUGCUGCAGGACGAAGAAGAAAAUACAUUUAAAUUUGUGGGUACAACGUGAAAAAAUAUGGAAAAGUUCAAAGGGUCGAGGUGCAACCUAUUUUCUCAGAUGAGAGAGGCUUGACCCUGGAAGAUAAAAUCCUUCUUCUCCUGCUGCUGUGACAUCUCUUCCCUCCCCCGUCAUCCGCACAACAGACAAGGCUGUAAUUUUUUCCUCAGAAUGUGCUCAUUUCUGGAGAUUCUGCAUUUCAACAGCAGAAAGGUCAAAGAAGAUUCAGCCCCCAAGGUCAUUUCUCUACACAUGGGGAAUGGCAAGAGAGUGACAAAAAUUGCCAGACCUGGACAGGAACUGUGACCAGGGUCAUACAGGACACUUCCUUAUUGGAGAUAAUCUGCUUUAUAACUGGUGGUCAUGUGAGGUUAAAAUAAAUGCAGGAGACUUCAGAUGGAGCAGAGGUGAUAUACAUGUGCAGUAUGGAGACCUCAGGGCCAGAUACUUGUACUGGCCAGAGCCACGUGCAGAACCACAAGAAAAAAGAACAAACUCCACUGGGAUGUGGUCCUAGCUUCCGGAGUCCUAGUGCUGACUGUUGAGGGUAGUGCGAGAUAUCUGUGGAACCACAUUAAUGAGGGCCUAGUAUACUGUAGAGCCACAGGUGUUGGAAACCAUUGUGGAGGGGCCAGAUUCAGGCUUUGUGGUCCAAAAAGCUCAGAUCAUGGAGGCAGUGGUCAAGGUCAUAGGUCAACAGAUAAGGCCUGUGGAGGGUAUGUUCACAGCGCCUAAAUUUCAAGUGGAUUUUGGGGCGUAUUUUAUUGGAUCUGUGGCAUGACAAACUUGUUGGCAUAAAAUCAAGGGUCAGCCUCAAAAUGUCCAAUAUUCCACUAGAACAUCAUAAAGUACAAAGCACGCAAUAGGCAGAAAUCCUAGGGAAAUCAGUGUCAGUCUUUACUGCUGUUCUGACAUUCUAUUCAUGAACCAGGAGGCUCACAAUGAGCAGAGCUAUGUGUGCCUCUCAGGGCAGAGCACGGAAGUAUAAAAAGGGAUAAAUAGAUGAAUGUAGUAAUGAUGCAGCAUGUGUGGGUCCUAUUCUAUUAGUGGAGUAUAGUAGCUUUUGAUGGAGCUCAAGUCUCCUCAGACAUUCUUGUCUCUAAGAUGUACUACCACAUUCUAGUACUGUAUUCAUGCACCAGGAGAGUACAGGUGUAAGUCACUCCUAGGCAGUGGUAUACAUAAAGAAAUAACAGUCCUACAGCAAGGAU